rnacentral:rRNA from 1 species
GACGAACGCUGGCGGCGUGCUUAACACAUGCCAGUCGAACGGAGAGGCCCUGCUUUUGUGGGGUGCUCGAGUGGCGAACGGGUGAGUAACACGUGAGUAACCUGCCCUUGACUUUGGGAUAACUUCAGGAAACUGGGGCUAAUACCGGAUAGGAGCUCCUGCUGCAUGGUGGGGGUUGGAAAGUUUCGGCGGUUGGGGAUGGACUCGCGGCUUAUCAGCUUGUUGGUGGGGUAGUGGCUUACCAAGGCUUUGACGGGUAGCCGGCCUGAGAGGGUGACCGGCCACAUUGGGACUGAGAUACGGCCCAGACUCCUACGGGAGGCAGCAGUGGGGAAUACUGCACAAUGGGCGGAAGCCUGAUGCAGCAACGCCGCGUGCGGGAUGACGGCCUUCGGGUUGUAAACCGCUUUCGCCUGUGACGAAGCGUGAGUGACGGUAAUGGGUAAAGAAGCACCGGCUAACUACGUG